rnacentral:rRNA from 1 species
AUUUACCACAACAUCUUCUCAUUUGGUCCAACUCAAGAUGGGCCAAAGCAUUUGGAACUCUACUUCUAUGAUGAUGAUCCCGGUUUACAACAUAGGUUUCGGCGCUCCCCGAACCUAGACCGAGAUGUCAUUCGAAGGCUUUUUGACAUCCUGAAGCAUAAUCCUUAUUCUGAAACAUUUAGGAAUCUAGGUGGAUUCGAUGACCUUGAGGAAUACCAUAUUGAACUGAACACCGACAUGAGGUUGGACCAAUGGAGGUAUAAUGUGCCUAUAUCAUCAGAGGUUGCAGCUAUUUGGGUUGAGGGUAGUGAACUCUGUAAGUACUUUGAGCGUAGCAUAGUAUUGUUCGGCAACGACAACAAGAGAUAUAGCAUCCAACCAUAUUAUGGAUGUUAUGAUCCGUUGUCUUACCCUUUAUUCUUCCCAAGAGGGGAGAUUGGUUGGCAUCCUGAAAUCCCAAAGAAUGGUGUCAGCUUGAAUGAGAUGCUUCAGUCCCGUCGCAAUGGUCGACAGAGUCUAGGUAAUUCAUAUAAUGAAAAUAACAUGUGUUAA